AUGCUUGUUUUGAAAGCACACAUACUAAAAUUGGAAGGAUGCAGAGAUUAGCAUGGUCCCUGAACAAGGGAGAUACAAAUUUGUAAAGCAUAUUAUUUGCUU